rnacentral:rRNA from 1 species
GAUGAACGCCGGCGGCGUGCUUAACACAUGCAAGUCGAACGGUGAAGCAGAGCUUGCUCUGUGGAUCAGUGGCGAACGGGUGAGUAACACGUGAGCAACCUGCCCCUGACUCUGGGAUAAGCGCUGGAAACGGCGUCUAAUACUGGAUAUGAGCUGCGACCGCAUGGUCAGCAGUUGGAAAGAUUUUUCGGUCUGGGAUGGGCUCACGGCCUAUCAGCUUGUUGGUGAGGUAAUGGCUCACCGAGGCGUCGACGGGUAGCCGGCCUGAGAGGGUGACCGGCCACACUGGGACUGAGACACGGCCCAGACUCCUACGGGAGGCAGCAGUGGGGAAUAUUGCACAAUGGGCGAAAGCCUGAUGCAGCAACGCCGCGUGAGGGAUGACGGCCUUCGGGUUGUAAACCUCUUUUAGCAGGGAAGAAGCGAAAGUGACGGUACCUGCAGAAAAAGCGCCGGCUAACUACGUG